UAGAAAGGUCAUAGUGAUAGUGAUAGAAAGGUGAUAGAUAGUGAUAGAAAGGUGAUGAAUAGUGAUAGAAAGGUGAUAGAUAGUUAUCGUGAUAGAAAGGUGAUAGUGAUUGUGAUAGAAAGGUGAUGGAUAGUAAUGGUGAUAGAAAGGUGACAGAUAGUGAUUGUGAUAGAAAGGUGACAGAUAGUGAUUGUGAUAGAAAGGUGACAGAUAGUGAUUGUGAUAGAAAGGUGACAGAUAGUGAUUGUGAUAGAAAGGUGACAGAUAGUGAUUGUGAUAGAAAGGUCAUAGUGAUCGUGAUAGAAAGGUGAUAAUGAGAGUGAUAGAAAGGUGAUAGAUAGUAAUGGUGAUAGAAAGGUCAUAGUGAUAGGAAGGUGAUAGUGAUUGUGAUAGAAAGGAGAUGGAUUGUGAAAGUGAUAGAAAG
ensembl:lncRNA